rnacentral:rRNA from 1 species
UUCCGUUGGUGAACCAGCGGAGGGAUCAUUACCGAGUUUACAACUCCCAAACCCCUGUGAACAUACCACUUGUUGCCUCGGCGGAUCAGCCCGCUCCCGGUAAAACGGGACGGCCCGCCAGAGGACCCCUAAACUCUGUUUCUAUAUGUAACUUCUGAGUAAAACCAUAAAUAAAUCAAAACUUUCAACAACGGAUCUCUUGGUUCUGGCAUCGAUGAAGAACGCAGCAAAAUGCGAUAAGUAAUGUGAAUUGCAGAAUUCAGUGAAUCAUCGAAUCUUUGAACGCACAUUGCGCCCGCCAGUAUUCUGGCGGGCAUGCCUGUUCGAGCGUCAUUUCAACCCUCAAGCACAGCUUGGUGUUGGGACUCGCGUUAAUUCGCGUUCCUCAAAUUGAUUGGCGGUCACGUCGAGCUUCCAUAGCGUAGUAGUAAAACCCUCGUUACUGGUAAUCGUCGCGGCCACGCCGUUAAACCCCAACUUCUGAAUGUUGACCUCGGAUCAGGUAGGAAUACCCGCUGAACUUAAGCAUAUCAUUAAGCGGAGGAA